AACGAACGCUGGCGGCAGGCCUAACACAUGCAAGUCGAACGCCGUAGCAAUACGGAGUGGCAGACGGGUGAGUAACACGUGGGAACGUACCCUUCGGUUCGGGAUAACUCAGGGAAACUUGAGCUAAUACCGGAUACGUCCGAGAGGAGAAAGAUUUAUCGCCGAGGGAUCGGCCCGCGUCUGAUUAGCUUGUUGGUGAGGUAACGGCUCACCAAGGCGACGAUCAGUAGCUGGUCNGAGAGGAUGA
rnacentral:rRNA from 1 species